UGGGCUGAUUAGCCUUUAGUGAAACGGGGCGCACAAGCAGCAGCUGCCUUAGGGGUCUCCUCGUUUUCAUUUGAAGAAAGAACCCAUGUGCUGGCGUUGAGGCAGAAAGAGGAACCCUCGAGCUAGGGCAAAGGGAGACAAGAGAUGAAGAGAGGAGCGAUCCUGCCCGGAGAAGAAGACCUGACCGGAUCUGACCGGCGAUGCCACGUGGAGAAGCUUCUCGAGCAAGUUUCCAUAGUUUUUCCUUUUCUCUAUUUCUGUGACCCUAUAUAUAAAGGGGUUUGCUACCAUGUAAAUGGGACUUUUACACUUUACAUUUUUACAGUUUUAGAUAUAGUUAGGUUUCUAGUUUCCUUGCUUUUGGAGUAAACACUCACGGUGUAGCUCCGAUUCCGAUUGCGCGUCGUUGAAACACAAUUAUGGAGUGUGAAGGAAUUGUGCAAGAAAAGAAUGAUGCAGAAGGAAUUGUGGGGAAGAAUGAUGCCGAAGCUAUAUUGCAAGAGAAGGAGGAUGCCGAAGCUAUAUUGAAAGCAGGAGAUGUUUGUGUAUUUGAACUUAUUAGCAAGAAGGAUGGUAUUUUUAAAGCUCAUAUUUUCUAAAAGGAUCACUAAUUUGUCUGCAUGAAAGCUGUGGUCUUGCUGAGGAAUUUGAAAGAAAAUGUUGUAAAGAAACAAAGAUAUUGUAAUGGGGUGUUCCCAAGUAUUAGACAUUUAGACAUUUAAACAGUGUUACUGUUAUGUAAUCAACCAGUUAUGUUUAUUGAAAUAUAGUACUGCAUUAGGUGA